rnacentral:piRNA from 1 species
UAAAGACGAUGAAGUCCUUUGAAGAGGCA